rnacentral:tRNA from 1 species
CUACUCAUAGUAUAAAAAAUACAUUGAUCCUUCACAUCAAAAAUUUAUUUAAUAAUGAGUAUU